AGAGUUUGAUCCUGGCUCAGGACGAACGCUGGCGGCGUGCUUAACACAUGCAAGUCGAACGAGAAUCUACUGAAAGAGUUUUCGGACAAUGGAUGUAGAGGAAAGUGGCGGACGGGUGAGUAACGCGUGAGGAACCUGCCUUGAAGAGGGGGACAACAGUUGGAAACGACUGCUAAUACCGCAUGAUGCAUAGGGAUCGCAUGAUUCUUAUGCCAAAGAUUUAUCGCUUCAAGAUGGCCUCGCGUCUGAUUAGCUGGUUGGCGGGGUAACGGCCCACCAAGGCGACGAUCAGUAGCCGGACUGAGAGGUUGAACGGCCACAUUGGGACUGAGAUACGGCCCAGACUCCUACGGGAGGCAGCAGUGGGGAAUAUUGGGCAAUGGGCGCAAGCCUGACCCAGCAACGCCGCGUGAAGGAAGAAGGCUUUCGGGUUGUAAACUUCUUUUAAGAGGGAAGAGCAGAAGACGGUACCUCUAGAAUAAGCCACGGCUAACUACGUGCCAGCAGCCGCGGUAAUACGUAGGUGGCAAGCGUUGUCCGGAUUUACUGGGUGUAAAGGGCGUGCAGCCGGGUCUGCAAGUCAGAUGUGAAAUCCAUGGGCUCAACCCAUGAACUGCAUUUGAAACUGUAGAUCUUGAGUGUCGGAGGGGCAAUCGGAAUUCCUAGUGUAGCGGUGAAAUGCGUAGAUAUUAGGAGGAACACCAGUGGCGAAGGCGGAUUGCUGGACGAUAACUGACGGUGAGGCGCGAAAGUGUGGGGAGCAAACAGGAUUAGAUACCCUGGUAGUCCACACUGUAAACGAUGAAUACUAGGUGUGCGGGGACUGACCCCCUGCGUGCCGCAGUAAACACAAUAAGUAUUCCACCUGGGGAGUACGAUCGCAAGGUUGAAACUCAAAGGAAUUGACGGGGGCCCGCACAAGCGGUGGAUUAUGUGGUUUAAUUCGAAGCAACGCGAAGAACCUUACCAGGG
rnacentral:rRNA from 1 species